GUGCUCGCUUUGGCAGCACAUAUACUAAAAUUGGAGCGAUACAGAGAAGAUUAGCAUGGCCCCUGUGCAGAUAGUUAAUCUAUCUCUUGCGAAAGGUCAGCUGUUCCU